GGAGCCAUAGCUCAGUUGGUAGAGCGACUCAUUUACACUGAGAAGGUCGGGGGUUCGAGUCCCUCUGGCUCCA
rnacentral:tRNA from 1 species